rnacentral:rRNA from 1 species
CCUACGGGUGACAGCAGUGGGGAAUCUUUGACAAUGGGCGGAACCCUGAUCCAGCGACGCCGCGUGAGUGAUGAAGUCCUUCGGUUUGUAAAGCUCUAUUAGUAGGGAAGAAUAUGUGGGUACCUGACUAAGAAGCUCCUGCUAAUUACGUGCCAGCAGCCGCGGUCAUACUUCGGGGGCGAGCGUUCUCCGGAUUUACUGGGUGUAAAGUGUGCGGUGAUGGUGUAGCAAGUCUGAUGUGAAAGGUCAGGGCCCAACCCGGGGACUGCAUUGGAAACUGUUAAACUGGAGGGCAGGAGAGGUAAGCGGAAUUCCUAGUGUAGCGGUGAAAUGCGUAGAGAUAAGGAGGAACACCAGUGGCGAAGGCGGCUUACCGGCGCUCAACUGACGCUGAUGCACGAAAGCGUGGGGAGCAAACAGGAUUAGAUACCCGAGUAGUC